rnacentral:pre_miRNA from 1 species
AAUAUACUCUCUCCGUUUCAUAUUAGGUGACGAAAUAUUACAUGUAUCUAGACGUUUUUUUUAUUUUAGAUACAUCCAUAUUUGGACAAAUUUGAGUCACUUAAUAUGGAACGGAGGGAGUAGUAU